AUUCUUAAAUUUUUUUUUCUUUCUGUUAUUUGAAAAAAAAAAUUAAAAAUGAAUCAAUCGCGAGCGUCAUAUUUCUGUGGAAUCCGCAAACAUUACAACAAACUUCUGUAAAACGUUUCUUAUUUGGCGACAUUAAAGUACGGUUUUUACAAAAAGGUAAUGGGGUCCACGCGGUAACAAUCCUCCUUCCACCACCGAUAAUCAUGCUUUAAGGGUGGGCGAAAAGCCGAACCAAUCAAACCAACUGAACCAAAACCGAUCCAAACUAAACUAAACCAAACCAAAAUCUAUUUAUCAAAUAGUUUGCUUUAACAUUUUUCCAAUCCAAACCAACUGAAUUAAACUGAACCGAGUAACCAAUAUAUUUUUGUUAUUAUUUGAAUUAUACAUACUAACAAAGUACAAUAUACUAAAAACCUAAGACUAAAGUUCCUAUUAAAGUUGGUAACGAUGUUGUUUUUUUUUUAUUUUUCUAUUUAUUUUAGUUAACUUUAGUUUGAUUGUAUUUUUAUAAAAAGAAAAUUUGUUGGGUUUUAAUGAAAUCUUUUUUGUUCAUUUUUUUAUGAAUUUUUUGGGUAAAAACAAUUAUUUUAGAUUCAUUCGAGAGAAUCGUCCUAAUAAUAAUCAUUAAAUAGCUAAACCCAAAUGUUAUAGUAUUUUUGAUUAAGUAUAUUUUCUAUAUUCCAACCUAAACUUUUGGUUACUUCGAUUAAUUUAAAUUGGAUUUUUUUUUAAAUCAAACUAAGCUAUUGCCAAAUAUAUGACCGGUUCAAUAAUAGCUAUUAAGAUAAGUAGAUAGGCUAAAUAUGUGAAGAGGGUUCAGUGGCAUCAGUUCAUGGCGCUGGAACUGGAAGAGACUAGUUCCCAUUUUGAACAGUUUUAAGAGAAACUAGCAUAAGCGUAAUGCCUUCAUCUAUCGAGUCCCUCUCAAAACUAGUAAUGCUGGACUUAGGGAACUGCAAAUUGCUUCAGAAUUUUCUAGUAAAGAUCUACAACAUGGAGUCUCUUCGACAGCUCAAUCUUUCUGGCUGCAAAGCGCUCAAGAGCUUUCCUGAGAUCCGAAACCGAGUUGAGAAUCUCCAGUAUCUCUAUUUAAGCGGUACAGGCCGUACAGUCAUUGAGGAAUUACACACAGUGCCAUCCCAAAACUUUACGAGGCUUAAAGCCUGUCAAGAUAUGUGGCCCUUAUAAAUAAAAUUGUUAAUAACAAAAGCGUAUGAAAUGGUUUUGCUAUUGCUCGAACUAGGCACAAGAAAAUCCAACUUAUCUUCCUAAACCAUUUAAGCAACCUACAAUUUUGGUUAGUGUGACCUAUAUUUUGGUUAAUGUAGCCUAUAUUUCAUUUUUAUAUUUGUGGCCUGAAGCCAAUGCUUCAUCUGCCUUAAGGGAAGGACGGGCCUGAUUACACACGUCACUUUCUAACAUGGUUUGUCUAAAAGUACUUCAAGUGAGCAAUAGCCUUAAGCCUUUUUUAGCCUGAAGGACUUUAAGGAUCUGAAGGUUGUUGAAAUAGAGGAAGAGAUUCACUUAUCCUCUUGAGGAUGAAUAUAGUUGCAGCAUUCUUCAUUUCAACCCCUAGAUUCAUAAUCUUCUUCUUAAAGUAUAUUCCAACACUUCCUCUAAGCUUGUACUCUGGGAUUCCUAGAUUUUCGUUUGGUUUGAAAGUUCCUUUCACGACAUCUAUAUAACUCCAUGUAUCUUCUCAGACGAGUUUUGUGUAAAAUCAUUGUCAUCUCUUCAACCAUCUUCACUGAAAUUGAGAUUCAACCAAAGACGAGGCAAUGCCCAUUCAGAUGAGAUUUAAAUUAAAUGUUACAGGUAAGAAAAUCAGCAGAGGCCAGUGUUGGUUGUGAUAGAGUGUAGUGAGUGCAGCUUCUCCCUUAGCGCAAUGAGCUGAGCCCUUAGAAGGCUGUUGUGAUAUUCGAUAUCCAUGUAAGCAUUGGAAACAACUACAAUCUAGUUAGCAAUGUAAGAGUUCUCUUGCACAAGA